CAAGAUACUUGUUUUACACUCCUAUCCCACGAUUGCAGUGAUCACGGCCGGGAGAUUGGGGAUCGCCGGCUGGGCGUCCCGCCGGUUCGAGCUCGGAUCCACAACAUCAACCAGCCCCGCGAGCACUCCUCCCUAUUCUCCCCCUGAUUUGCAGCGACCGGCGACGGCGGAUUGAAGGAGGCCGCCCCACCAGCGGAGCUCGGAUCCACCGCAUCAACCCGCGCGCGAGCCUUUCCCCACCGAUUACAGCGACCGACGAUGACUCUCAGAUCACCAGGAUACAACGAAGGGAUUUGGGGGAGAAAAGCACCGAGGCGAGGUAGACGAAAGAGAGAAGCUUCAGUUGCUAAAAUAAUGCCACCACUUCCGGAGAGUGAGAGGGAAACAAGGGCAUAUCUUGCGGAAAGGAAAUGCAAGAGUGAGGCAUAUUUGAAGGGAUGCAAGGAUGCGGAGCAGCAACCUCUUAGAGACAUACACAGCAUAGCUCGUAGACUUUUAUACCCUACUGCCUCUAAUGCGCAACCGACACAAAAUGCAGGAGGUGCCGGCGAUCGCAGUGUCUCGGAGUAUGAACCAGAUGCUGAAGAGGAGGCCCAUUUUGCAGAAGAAGCUUUGAGAGAUGAAGAGGAAGUUGCUCUUGCUAUGUCCAAAGAAAUGCACCUUCCUUUCUAGCAUGGGUUAUGCAUCAAUAUCCGGGAGAUCUGGGACCUCUACUUCGUCAGCACAGAUCUGAGAAGAAAGAAUUGAACAGAAGGAUAGAGAGGCGAGAGAUGCAAGUAACAGGCACUGAGAGGAGUUAGCCGCGAGGCUUGAAGCACAAGUGGCAACAUUUGAAGAGAUGUAGAGGAAGCAACAUGAAGAAUUGCAAGCUGUGAAGAAAAGACAACAGAAGAAGAAUGAAGCCUGGCAAAAGAAGCAACAGGAGACGGAUAACCUGAUUGGUUUUCUCUUAAAGGCUCAAGCAAGUCAACAAGCAACUUAGCAGUCCCAGUCCAAACCUGACGGUGCAUGAAGGCCAUCCUUUUGUGAUGGAAAGAUAGUUGGCGAAUCAUAUGUUGUAAUCAUCAAGACAACACAUGUGGUCUUUAGUUAUUUAAAUAUUGCCUUUUUAACAUGUCUAUUGUAGUGUCAAACUAGGGAACAGUGUUCCUUUUUAUUGUCAUUUCUAUUUAGAGGAUGACUUGGCUGAGACGGUUGAUCAUAUGAUAUGAUUUGUCGUUCAUUCAA